rnacentral:rRNA from 1 species
AUGCAAUGGAGGCGUGGAUGUGGAGCACCAGCGCUGGAUCUGGGCGACGGAGGCAUGGAUGUGGAGCGGCACCAGAGCGGCGGAUCUGGAGCAGCUCCGGAGCAGUGGAGCGGCGGAUCUGGAGCAGCGUCUUCGUCCUCACGGUGCCCACGUCGUCGUCUUCGCCGGAGUAGCUGCUUCCUCCCCUACCCAACGCCUGUCACUGACGACAAGUGCAAGAAGAAGGCCCUGAGGAUUAUUCACAAAGCAGAGAGGGAGAAGCAUAAGCGCGACCUGCUCAAUGAUCUCUUCAGUGAACUUGACGAAAUGCUAGUGUGA